UACAGAGGGGGCAAGCGUUAUUCGGAAUUAUUGGGCGUAAAGCGUGCGCAGGCGGUGAUGUAAGACCGAUGUGAAAUCCCCGGGCUUAACCUGGGAACUGCAUUGGUGACUGCAUUGCUCGAGUAUGGCAGAGGGGGGUGGAAUUCCACGUGUAGCAGUGAAAUGCGUAGAGAUGUGGAGGAACACCGAUGGCGAAGGCAGCCCCCUGGGCCAAUACUGACGCUCAUGCACGAAAGCGUGGGGAGCAAACAGG
rnacentral:rRNA from 1 species